CAGAGGUCCCGAGCGUUGUUCGGAUUCACUGGGCGUAAAGGGUGCGUAGGUGGUGAGGUAAGUCGGAUGUGAAAUCUCCGGGCUCAACCCGGAAAUGGCAUAGGAAACUACCUUGCUGGAGGAUUUGAGGGGGGAUUGGAAUACUUGGUGUAGCAGUGAAAUGCGUAGAUAUCAAGUGGAACACCAGUGGCGAAGGCGAAUCCCUGGAAAAUACCUGACACUGAGGCACGAAAGCUAGGGGAGCAAACAGGAUUAGAUACCCUGGUAGUCCUAGCCCUAAACGGUGCUUGCUUGCUGUAAGAGGAAUCGACCCCUCUUGUGGCGGAGCUAACGCGUUAAGCAAGCCGCCUGGGAAGUACGGUCGCAAGAUUA
rnacentral:rRNA from 1 species